ACUCAAAACCAAUCAAAACCCAUUACUCAAAAUCCAACAAUGGACUCCAUAGGCGUGCUCAUGCCAGUUCCAAUGUCCCCAUAUUUAGAGCAAGAGCUCGAGAAGCGCUUCAACCUCUUGAAGCUCUGGACCGUCCCUCAAAAAACCCAGUUCCUCAAGGACCAUUCCGGCUCCAUCCGAGCCGUCGUCGGUAAUGCAGGGAACGGAGCGGAUGCCGAGCUCAUCGAGACUUUGCCGAAGCUGGAGAUCGUGUCCAGUUUCAGCGUUGGGAUCGAUAAGGUCGAUUUGAACAAGUGCAGGGAAAAGGGUAUUCGGGUCACCAACACGCCCGAUGUUUUGACCGAUGACGUGGCGGACCUUGCUAUUGGGUUGGCGUUGGCUGUGUUGAGAAGGCUCUGUGAGAGUGAUCGGUAUGUGAGGAGUGGGCAGUGGAAGAAGGGUGACUACAAGUUGACCACCAAGUUCACCGGAAAAACAGUUGGCAUCCUCGGUCUGGGAAGAAUUGGCAAAGCAGUUGCCAAGAGAGCUGAGGCUUUUAGCUGCCCAAUCUCUUACCACUCCAGAACAGAAAAACCAGAGUUGAAGUACAAAUACUAUCCAUGUGUUGUGGAGUUGGCCUCGAACUGUGAUAUUCUGGUUGUUGUGUGCGCAUUAACUGAAGAGACCCGUCACAUUAUUAAUCGUGAAGUCAUUGAUGCUUUGGGCCCAAAGGGUGUUCUCAUUAACAUUGGGAGGGGUCCUCAUGUUGAUGAACCUGAGCUGGUCUCUGCUCUGCUAGAAGGCCGGUUAGGUGGUGCUGGACUUGAUGUUUAUGAAAAUGAACCAGAAGUACCUGAGCAGUUGUUUGAGCUUGAGAAUGUGGUACUCUUGCCUCAUGUAGGAAGUGACACUGUACAAACUGACACUGCCAUGGCUGACCUUGUGAUUGGGAAUCUUGAGGCUCACUUUUCAAACAAACCAUUGUUGACACCAGUCGUUUAACAGAGUAUUUGAAGGUAAAGUUGAUUGAAGGCUUCAUUGUCUUGUUCUGGUACCAAAACUUCUUCAAUCCAUGACCAUUGUUUCAAGAGUUGGCAAAGAAUCUUGGUUCUUGUGUGUUUUGAAGAAUGAAGGAUUUCAUCCUUCACUUGCAAGUGCUUGGAACCUCCAACGAGUACAACAAUCUGAAGUAUCCAUUAAGUGGUGGAUACCCUCAAUCGGCAAGAUCUCCUUUACCCUAUGAAGAGUCUGUAAUUUCAAAAUGCCCUAGAAAGAGAGAAAUAAGGGAAUUAAAGUAAUGAAAUUAGGAAAUGAAAUUACCCUUAAAUUUGGUGGAACAAUAUUUGACAAACAAAAAAAAAAAGGGUUGGAAGUGUUCAUUGAUAGAAGUAUCGUCUCCCCUUAUAAGUUCAUAAAAAGCAAAUUUUUUUU